rnacentral:rRNA from 1 species
UACGGAGGGGGCUAGCGUUGUUCGGAAUUACUGGGCGUAAAGCGCACGUAGGCGGCUUUCUAAGUCAGGGGUGAAAUCCCGGAGCUCAACUCCGGAACUGCCUUUGAUACUGGAGAGCUUGAGUUCGGGAGAGGUGAGUGGAACUGCGAGUGUAGAGGUGAAGUUCGUAGAUAUUCGCAAGAACACCAGUGGCGAAGGCGGCUCACUGGCCCGAUACUGACGCUGAGGUGCGAAAGCGUGGGGAGCAAACAGGG